rnacentral:lncRNA from 1 species
CUGCUCUUCCAUUCUUCUCAGGUGGACUUGCCCUCAUCACCCUCCAGCCUGAGGAAGAUAUGAGCCUUCCUCAUAUCUUCUAUGCUUCUCUGUGUCAGCACCGCCCUCCACUGGCCGGGUCCCAUUAACAGGAUCUUGCUGGACGCUUCCCACCAUGCUUUGCGUACUCAGGCCUGCCUCAGGAAGGAUCUGGGCUAUCCGUAAAACAGCAGGAAACAUUCUUCUCACUGUCACCCCACUUUAUCCAAACCAUAAAGGGGGUGCCCAGGCAGAGUCUUCAGACCGAUGCUCUCAAGGCACCUCUGCCUCCAGCAGUGAGUAUCCAGUUGCAGACCUGAAGGCCAGAGGCACCCUAGGAUAUGGUGACAGAGUGGAUGUGCAUCCUCAUGUGGAAGAAAGUUCUUGUUCUAUACAGCUCCCAAGUCCUCCAACCCUACCCCACGGAAACCUGUUCCUUCAGGAAACCCACACACAGUAGGCCAGCAACAGGAGUCUCCAUGACUACUCCAACCUAACCCACCUCAUUUCCUCACAUGAAAACGAAAGGCAGGGCUGAGAGCCCUGAUCUGCGGAGGCUUGUGUUCAGGCUCGUCCGGAUGGAAUAUUAACCACACCCACUAGCACAAUAUACCAG